GUGCAGCAGGCGAGAAUAGUCUACAAUGGACGAAAGUCUGAUAGUGCGACGCCGUGUGUGCGAUUAAUUCCUUCGGGAUGUAAAGCACUUUUCUAUGAGAUAAAAGCUCUUUAGGUUAAUAGCUUAUUGAGACGGAUAUUAUUAUAGGAAUAAGCUCCGGCUAACUCCGUGCCAGCAGCCGCGGUAAUACGGAAGGAGCGAGCGUUGUCCGGAUUUACUAGGCGUAAAGGGCUAGUAGGCGACUAAUUAAGUUAUAUGUUAAAUCCCACGGCUCAACUGUGGUCCUGCAUGUAAUACUGGUUAGAUAGAGUACUGUAGAGGAAGGCAGAAUUCCUGGAGUAGCGGUGGAAUGCGCAGAUAUCAGGAAGAAUACCAAAAGCGAAGGCAGCCUUCUGGGCAGUUACUGACGCUGAAUAGCGAAGGUGUGGGUAGCGAACAGGGAUUAGAUACCCCCGUAGU
rnacentral:rRNA from 1 species